rnacentral:rRNA from 1 species
GACUCUCGGCAACGGAUAUCUCGGCUCUCGCAUCGAUGAAGAACGUAGCGAAAUGCGAUACAUGUGAUACUUGGUGUGAAUUGCAUAAUCCCGUUAGCCAUCGAGUCUUUGAACGCAAGUUGUGCCCCAAGCCUUCUGGCCGAGGACACGUCUGCCUGGGUGUCA